GAUGAAGAACGCAGCGAAAUGCGAUAAGUAGUGUGAAUUGCAGAAUUCAGUGAAUCAUCGAAUCUUUGAACGCACAUUGCGCCUUCUAGUAUUCUGGGAGGCAUGCCUGUUUGAGCGUCAUUAAACCUCUCUCAAGUAUGAUUACUUGGAUGUGAAGGAAGAGUACCUUAAACUUAAGGAGUGUACUCCUUUGAAAUUGAUUAGCAGAUGGUAAUGUUAUUAAAUCCCUGAUGUUGUAAGAAAUAACAGUGGUUUUGUAGACUAUUAUCUAGCUUUAAAUUAUAAUUUUUAUUAUGGUUGACCUCAAAUCAGGUAAGGAUACCCGCUGAACUUAAGCAUAUCAUAAGCGGAGGA
rnacentral:misc_RNA from 1 species